AUGUCUGGCAUCUCAGAGCGGAUACAUGCUUUGCAGUGUAAGAAUGCACCACCCCCAGCGAACCAAUCAUCACCUCAGGACCACGCAGAGUCAAUUGUGACUCCAGAAGACGACAUAGAGGAACAGCCUGCAAUACCUUACAAUCUACGCUCUCAUAAGAGUUGCCAGAAGCAAACGACUACAUAAAGCAAGACCCAAGAAGAAGCAGUAGUGAGCCUAGU